CCUACGGGGGGCAGCAGUGGGGGAUAUUGCACAAUGGGGGCAACCCUGAUGCAGCGACGCCGCGUGGGUGAAGAAGCGCCUCGGCGCGUAAAGCCCUGUCAGCAGGGACGAAAAUGACGGUACCUGAAGAAGAAGCCCCGGCUAACUACGUGCCAGCAGCCGCGGUCAUACGUCGGGGGCAAGCGUUAGCCGGAUUUACUGGGGGGAAAGGGGGCGCAGACGGCGAUGCAAGCCAGGAGUGAAAGCCAGGGGCCCAACCCCGGGACUGCUCUUGGAACUGCGUGGCUAGAGUGCGGGAGGGGCAGGCGGAAUUCGUGGUGUAGCGGUGAAAUGCGUAGAUAUCAGGAGGAACACCGGAGGCGAAGGCGGCCUGCUGGACUGCAACUGACGUUGAGGCCCGAAAGCGUGGGGAGCAAACAGGAUUAGAUACCCGGGUAGUC
rnacentral:rRNA from 1 species